rnacentral:rRNA from 1 species
AUUGAACGCUGGCGUCAGGCCUAACACAUGCAAGUCGAACGAGUGGCGGACGGGUGAGUAAUGUCUGGGAAACUGCCUGAUGGAGGGGGAUAACUACUGGAAACGGUAGCUAAUACCGCAUACCAUCAGAUGUGCCCAGAUGGGAUUAGCUUGUUGGUGGGGUAACGGCUCACCAAGGCGACGAUCCCUAGCUGGUCUGAGAGGAUGACCGGACACGAUGGAACUGGGACAAGGUACAGAAUCCUACGGGAGACAGCAGUGGGGAAUAUUGAACGAUGGGCGCAAGACUGAUGCAGCCAUGCCGCGUGUAUGAAGAAGGCCUUCGGGUUGUAAAGUACUUACAGCGGGGAGGCGUAACCCGCAGAAGAAGCAACGGCUAACUCCGUGCGAGCGGCCGCGGUAAUAG